UUACUGGGCGUAAGCGCGCGUAGGCGGCUAAUUAAGUCAAAUGUGAAAUCCCCGAGCUUAACUUGGGAAUUGCAUUCGAUACUGGUUAGCUAGAGUGUGGGAGAGGAUGGUAGAAUUCCAGGUGUAGCGGUGAAAUGCGUAGAGAUCUGGAGGAAUACCGAUGGCGAAGGCAGCCAUCUGGCCUAACACUGACGCUGAGGUGCGAAAGCAUGGGGAGCAAACAGGAUUAGAUACCCUGGUAGUCCAUGCCGUAAACGAUGUCUACUAGCCGUUGGGGCCUUUGAGGCUUUAGUGGCGCAGCUAACGCGAUAAGUAGACCGCCUGGGGAGUACGGUCGCAAGACUAAAACUCAAAUGAAUUGACGGGGGCCCGCACAAGCGGUGGAGCAUGUGGUUUAAUUCGAUGCAACGCGAAGAACCUUACCUGGCCUUGACAUAGUAAGAACUUUCCAGAGAUGGAUUGGUGCCUUCGGGAACUUACAUACAGGUGCUGCAUGGCUGUCGUCAGCUCGUGUCGUGAGAUGUUGGGUUAAGUCCCGCAACGAGCGCAACCCUUUUCCUUAUUUGCCAGCGAGUAAUGUCGGGAACUUUAAGGAUACUGCCAGUGACAAACUGGAGGAAGGCGGGGACGACGUCAAGUCAUCAUGGCCCUUACGGCCAGGGCUACACACGUGCUACAAUGGUCGGUACAAAGGGUUGCUACCUAGCGAUAGGAUGCUAAUCUCAAAAAGCCGAUCGUAGUCCGGAUUGGAGUCUGCAACUCGACUCCAUGAAGUCGGAAUCGCUAGU
rnacentral:rRNA from 1 species